rnacentral:rRNA from 1 species
ACCUUUUGGAGCCAGCCGCCGAAGGUGGGAUCAAUGAUUGGGGUGAAGUCGUAACAAGGUAGCCGUAUCGGAAGGUGCGGCUGGAUCACCUCCUUUCUAAGGA